rnacentral:rRNA from 1 species
UACGUAGGGACCGAGCGUUGUCCGGAAUCAUUGGGCGUAAAGAGCGUGUAGGCGGCUUGUUAAGUCUUGCGUGAAAUCUCGGGGCUCAACCCCGAGCGGUCGUGAGAAACUGGCAGGCUAGAGUGCGGGAGAGGAGAGUGGAAUUCCUGGUGUAGCGGUGAAAUGCGCAGAUAUCAGGAAGAACACCCGUGGCGAAGGCGGCUCUCUGGGACGGUACUGACGCUGAGACGCGAAAGCUAGGGGAGCAAACGGG